rnacentral:rRNA from 1 species
GACGAACGCUGGCGGCGUGCUUAACACAUGCAAGUCGAACGGAAAGGCCCUGCUUUUGUGGGGUGCUCGAGUGGCGAACGGGUGAGUAACACGUGAGUAACCUGCCUUUGACUUUGGGAUAACUUCAGGAAACUGGGGCUAAUACCGGAUAGGAGCUCCUGCUGCAUGGUGGGGGUUGGAAAGUUUCGGCGGUUGGGGAUGGACUCGCGGCUUAUCAGCUUGUUGGUGGGGUAGUGGCUUACCAAGGCUUUGACGGGUAGCCGGCCUGAGAGGGUGACCGGCCACAUUGGGACUGAGAUACGGACCAGACUCCUACGGGAGGCAGCAGUGGGGAAUAUUGCACAAUGGGCGGAAGCCUGAUGCAGCAACGCCGCGUGCGGGAUGACGGCCUUCGGGUUGUAAACCGCUUUCGCCUGUGACGAAGCGUGAGUGACGGUAAUGGGUAAAGAAGCACCGGCUAACUACGUG